AGGGAAGGGAAAUCGGGCCGGGCAUUAGGCUCCAUCGCUCAUCAAUAGACAAGGCCUUUAGGAAACUGCGACAACGGCUUUUGCUCUGGGCCUUUACUGCCGAAUCCAGGUCUCCGGGCUUAACAACAACGAAGGGGCUCUGACUGGCUGCUUUCUCAACCAAUCAGCACCGAACUCAUUUGCAUGGGCUGAGAACAAAUGUUCGCGAACUCUAGAAAUGAAUGACUUAAUGGUCCUGGCGGAGGUGAUCCAGGCGUUCUCCGCCCCGGAGAACGCAGUGCGCAUGGACGAGGCUCGGGAUAACGCCUGCAACGACAUGGGUAAGAUGCUGCAAUUCGUGCUGCCCGUGGCCACGCAGAUCCAGCAGGAGGUUAUCAAAGCCUAUGGCUUCAGCUGCGACGGGGAAGGUGUCCUUAAGUUUGCUCGCUUGGUCAAGUCCUACGAAGCCCAGGAUCCUGAGAUCGCCAGCCUGUCAGGCAAGCUGAAGGCGCUGUUCCUGCCGCCCAUGACCCUGCCACCCCAUGGGCCUGCUGCUGGUGGCAGCGUGGCCGCCUCCUGAGAGUUGGCCCUCCCUUGUGCCACUGCCAGGGGAGGAAAGGCCUUGAUGUUCCAGACAAUAAUAAAUGCGCCUGUGACUUAG
rnacentral:sRNA from 1 species